rfam:Selaginella moellendorffii unplaced genomic scaffold SELMOscaffold_32, whole genome shotgun sequence.
UUCUAGCGCGUGAUGAUAACAUAGUUCAGAUGAGUCCCACAAUGGGCGCUGACUAUAAGCACUAUGUCUUUCGCUCCUAUCUGACGCUUUGA